ACGGGGGGAGCAAGCGUUGUUCGGAUUUACUGGGCGUAAAGCGCGCGUAGGCGGCUAUUUAAGUCUGAGGUGAAAGGUUCAGCGCUCAACGUGAACAGUGCCUUGGAUACUGGAUAGCUUGAGUUCGGGAGGGGGCAGUGGAAUUCCAGGUGUAGCGGUGAAAUGCGUAGAUAUCUGGAGGAACACCGAUGGCGAAGGCAGCUGCCUGGCCCAGAACUGACGCUGAGGUGCGAAAGCGUGGGGAGCGAACGGGA
rnacentral:rRNA from 1 species